UUCCUUAUUUAUUUAUCUGACUUGUUUAUUUAAAGACGGGUCUCUUUAGCAAACCUGGAGCUUCUCCAUUCAGAUAGCUCCGCUGCCAUUAAACUCCAGGGGUUCUCCUGUCUCCACCUUUCUGCCACCGCAGAGCUGGGUUAGAAGCCCUUGCCCCUGCACCGGUCUUUACCAUAGACUCUGGAAUCUAAACUCAGAUCUUCAUGCUCCUGUGGCAGACACUUUACCUACUGAGGCAUCUCCUUUGCCCUCGGCUGAGGCACAGCAUGAUUUAUCCAGAGCAGUCAGGUCUGUCCCGUCCAUGAUCUCCAAGCCUUCUGAGCAUCCACAACCCUGGUGAUUAGCUAGACACAUCAAGAGACAUCGUGGAUACUGCCCAAGAGACCAGUGCCCCAUUCAAGCUCAGACAGUGAAGUUCCAGAUCCCCAUGAGAAGUGGCCUGACCCCUCAUCUGCCCAUCUGCAUGCCCUCUGCAAUCUGUUGGCUCUGAGUGGCACAGCUUGCUCUGCCCUGCCAAGUGGCAGGAGCUUCCAUUCCAGGAGCUGGCAGGAGACACCUGAAGCCGGACAGGGCUUUAUCUCGGAGCUGGUGCUGCUGAAUAAUGGAUUCAGCAUGCGUUCCUGGGCUCCUGCACACACUCACUCACACACACACACACACACACACACACACACACACACACACGCGCGCUACACACAUGCUGGGCUGACAACCCAGAGGGGCGGGGCUGCCGGGGCUGCACAGCUCUGAUGAGCUGAAGGAGCAGCUUGCUUUGGUUGCCUUGGUCUCUGUGGGCAGCAGCAGGAGGAGGCGGCAGCAGCCAGAGAAGAGGGAGGCGUGUGAGCCACACUCCACCAGCGAGCUUCUUCCCGCUGCUCUGGAACUGCCCAGGCUCUCCCCACCAGCAUGGCCCUGAUUGUUCACCUCAAGACUGUCUCAGAGCUCCGAGGCAAAGGUGACCGGAUUGCCAAAGUCACUUUCCGAGGGCAGUCUUUCUACUCCCGGGUCCUGGAGAACUGCGAGGGUGUGGCUGACUUUGAUGAGACGUUCCGGUGGCCAGUGGCCAGCAGCAUCGACCGGAAUGAAGUGUUGGAGAUUCAGAUUUUCAACUACAGCAAAGUCUUCAGCAACAAGCUGAUAGGGACCUUCUGCAUGGUGCUGCAGAAAGUGGUGGAGGAGAAUCGGGUAGAGGUGACCGACACGCUGAUGGAUGACAGCAAUGCUAUCAUCAAGACCAGCCUGAGCAUGGAGGUCCGGUAUCAGGCCACAGAUGGCACUGUGGGCCCCUGGGAUGAUGGAGACUUCCUGGGAGAUGAAUCCCUCCAGGAGGAGAAGGACAGCCAGGAGACAGAUGGGCUGCUACCUGGUUCCCGACCCAGCACCCGGAUAUCUGGCGAGAAGAGCUUUCGCAGAGCGGGAAGGAGUGUGUUCUCGGCCAUGAAACUCGGCAAAACUCGGUCCCACAAAGAGGAGCCCCAAAGACAAGAUGAGCCAGCAGUGCUGGAGAUGGAGGACCUGGACCACCUAGCCAUUCAGCUGGGGGAUGGGCUGGAUCCUGACUCCGUGUCUCUAGCCUCGGUCACCGCUCUCACCAGCAAUGUCUCCAACAAACGGUCUAAGCCAGAUAUUAAGAUGGAGCCCAGUGCUGGAAGGCCCAUGGAUUACCAGGUCAGCAUCACAGUGAUUGAGGCUCGGCAGCUGGUGGGCUUGAACAUGGACCCUGUGGUGUGUGUGGAGGUGGGUGAUGACAAGAAAUACACGUCAAUGAAGGAGUCCACAAACUGCCCUUACUACAACGAGUACUUUGUCUUCGACUUCCAUGUCUCUCCUGAUGUCAUGUUUGACAAGAUCAUCAAGAUCUCGGUUAUCCAUUCUAAGAACCUGCUUCGGAGCGGCACCCUGGUGGGUUCCUUCAAAAUGGAUGUGGGGACUGUGUAUUCCCAGCCUGAACACCAGUUCCAUCACAAAUGGGCCAUCCUGUCAGACCCCGAUGACAUCUCUGCUGGGUUGAAGGGUUAUGUAAAGUGUGAUGUCGCUGUGGUGGGCAAGGGAGACAACAUCAAGACACCCCACAAGGCCAACGAGACGGAUGAGGACGACAUUGAAGGGAACUUGCUGCUCCCCGAGGGCGUGCCCCCCGAACGGCAGUGGGCACGGUUCUAUGUGAAAAUUUACCGAGCAGAGGGACUGCCCCGGAUGAACACAAGCCUCAUGGCCAACGUGAAGAAGGCGUUCAUCGGUGAGAACAAGGACCUCGUCGACCCCUAUGUGCAAGUCUUCUUUGCUGGACAAAAGGGCAAAACAUCAGUGCAGAAGAGCAGCUAUGAGCCGCUAUGGAAUGAGCAGGUCGUCUUCACAGACUUGUUCCCCCCACUCUGCAAACGCAUGAAGGUGCAGAUCCGGGACUCUGACAAGGUCAAUGAUGUGGCCAUCGGCACCCACUUCAUCGACCUGCGCAAGAUUUCCAACGAUGGAGACAAAGGCUUCCUGCCUACCCUCGGUCCAGCCUGGGUGAACAUGUACGGCUCCACGCGCAACUACACACUGCUGGACGAGCACCAGGACUUGAAUGAAGGCCUGGGGGAGGGUGUGUCCUUCCGGGCCCGCCUCAUGUUGGGACUAGCUGUGGAGAUCCUGGACACCUCCAACCCAGAGCUCACCAGCUCCACGGAGGUGCAGGUGGAGCAGGCCACGCCUGUCUCGGAGAGCUGCACAGGGAGAAUGGAAGAAUUUUUUCUAUUUGGAGCCUUCUUGGAAGCCUCAAUGAUUGACCGGAAAAAUGGGGACAAGCCAAUUACCUUUGAGGUGACCAUAGGAAACUACGGCAAUGAAGUCGAUGGUAUGUCCCGGCCCCUGAGGCCUCGGCCCCGGAAAGAGCCUGGGGAUGAAGAAGAGGUAGACCUGAUUCAGAACUCCAGUGACGAUGAAGGUGACGAAGCCGGGGACCUGGCCUCGGUGUCCUCCACCCCACCUAUGCGGCCCCAGAUCACGGACAGGAACUAUUUCCACCUGCCCUACCUGGAGCGCAAGCCCUGCAUCUAUAUCAAGAGCUGGUGGCCUGACCAGAGGCGGCGCCUCUACAAUGCCAACAUCAUGGAUCACAUUGCUGACAAGCUGGAAGAAGGCCUGAAUGAUGUACAGGAGAUGAUCAAAACGGAGAAGUCCUACCCGGAGCGCCGCCUGCGGGGUGUGCUAGAGGAACUCAGCUGUGGCUGCCACCGCUUCCUCUCCCUCUCGGACAAGGACCAGGGCCGCUCGUCCCGCACCAGGCUGGAUCGAGAGCGUCUUAAGUCCUGUAUGAGGGAGUUGGAGAGCAUGGGACAGCAGGCCAAGAGCCUGAGGGCUCAGGUGAAGCGGCACACUGUUCGGGACAAGCUGAGGUCAUGCCAGAACUUUCUGCAGAAGCUACGCUUCCUGGCGGAUGAGCCCCAGCACAGCAUUCCUGAUGUGUUCAUUUGGAUGAUGAGCAACAACAAACGUAUCGCCUAUGCCCGCGUGCCUUCCAAAGACCUGCUCUUCUCCAUCGUGGAGGAGGAACUGGGCAAGGACUGCGCCAAAGUCAAGACCCUCUUCCUGAAGCUGCCAGGGAAGAGGGGCUUCGGCUCGGCAGGCUGGACAGUACAGGCCAAGCUGGAGCUCUACCUGUGGCUGGGCCUCAGCAAGCAGCGAAAGGACUUCCUGUGUGGUCUGCCCUGUGGCUUCGAGGAGGUCAAGGCAGCCCAAGGCCUGGGCCUGCAUUCCUUUCCGCCCAUCAGCCUAGUCUACACCAAGAAGCAAGCCUUCCAGCUCCGAGCACACAUGUAUCAGGCCCGAAGCCUCUUUGCUGCUGACAGCAGUGGGCUCUCUGAUCCCUUUGCCCGUGUCUUCUUCAUCAACCAGAGCCAAUGCACUGAGGUUCUAAACGAGACACUGUGUCCCACCUGGGACCAGAUGCUGGUAUUUGACAACCUGGAGCUGUACGGUGAAGCUCACGAGUUACGAGAUGAUCCCCCCAUCAUUGUCAUUGAAAUCUACGACCAGGACAGCAUGGGCAAAGCCGACUUCAUGGGCCGGACCUUCGCCAAGCCCCUGGUGAAGAUGGCAGAUGAAGCAUACUGCCCACCUCGCUUCCCGCCGCAGCUUGAGUACUACCAGAUCUACCGAGGCAGUGCCACUGCCGGAGACCUACUGGCUGCCUUCGAGCUGCUGCAGAUUGGGCCAUCAGGGAAGGCUGACCUGCCACCCAUCAAUGGCCCAGUGGACAUGGACAGAGGGCCCAUCAUGCCUGUGCCCGUGGGAAUCCGGCCAGUGCUCAGCAAGUACCGAGUGGAGGUGCUGUUCUGGGGCCUGAGGGACCUAAAGAGGGUGAACCUGGCCCAGGUGGACCGACCACGGGUGGACAUCGAGUGUGCAGGAAAGGGGGUACAAUCCUCCCUGAUUCACAAUUAUAAGAAGAACCCCAACUUCAACACGCUGGUCAAGUGGUUUGAAGUGGACCUCCCGGAGAAUGAGCUCCUGCACCCACCCUUGAACAUCCGAGUGGUAGAUUGCCGGGCCUUUGGACGAUACACCCUGGUGGGUUCCCACGCAGUCAGCUCACUGAGGCGCUUCAUCUACCGACCUCCAGACCGCUCAGCCCCCAACUGGAACACCACAGUCAGGCUGCUCCGGGGCUGCCACAGGCUGCGCAAUGGGGGCCCCUCUUCUCGCCCCACAGGGGAGGUUGUAGUAAGCAUGGAGCCUGAGGAGCCAGUUAAGAAGCUGGAGACCAUGGUGAAACUGGAUGCGACUUCUGAUGCUGUGGUCAAGGUGGAUGUGGCUGAAGAUGAGAAGGAAAGGAAGAAGAAGAAAAAGAAAGGCCCGUCAGAGGAGCCAGAGGAGGAAGAGCCCGAUGAGAGCAUGCUGGAUUGGUGGUCCAAGUACUUCGCCUCCAUCGACACAAUGAAGGAGCAACUUCGACAACAUGAGACCUCUGGAACUGACUUGGAAGAGAAGGAAGAGAUGGAAAGCGCUGAGGGCCUGAAGGGACCAAUGAAGAGCAAGGAGAAGUCCAGAGCUGCAAAGGAGGAGAAAAAGAAGAAAAACCAGAGCCCUGGCCCUGGCCAGGGAUCGGAGGCUCCUGAGAAGAAGAAAGCCAAGAUCGAUGAGCUUAAGGUGUACCCCAAGGAGCUGGAAUCGGAGUUUGACAGCUUUGAGGACUGGCUGCACACCUUCAACCUGUUGAGGGGCAAGACGGGAGAUGAUGAGGAUGGCUCCACAGAGGAGGAGCGCAUAGUAGGCCGAUUCAAGGGCUCCCUCUGUGUGUACAAAGUGCCACUCCCAGAAGAUGUAUCUCGAGAAGCUGGCUAUGAUCCCACCUAUGGAAUGUUCCAGGGCAUCCCAAGCAAUGACCCCAUCAAUGUGCUGGUCCGAAUCUAUGUGGUCCGGGCCACAGACCUGCACCCGGCCGACAUCAAUGGCAAAGCUGACCCCUAUAUUGCCAUCAAGUUAGGCAAGACCGACAUCCGAGACAAGGAGAACUACAUCUCCAAGCAGCUCAACCCUGUGUUUGGGAAGUCCUUUGACAUUGAGGCCUCCUUCCCCAUGGAGUCCAUGUUGACAGUGGCCGUGUACGACUGGGAUCUGGUGGGCACUGAUGACCUCAUCGGAGAAACCAAGAUUGACCUGGAAAACCGCUUCUACAGCAAGCAUCGCGCCACCUGCGGCAUCGCACAGACCUAUUCCAUACAUGGCUACAAUAUCUGGAGGGACCCCAUGAAGCCCAGCCAGAUCCUGACACGCCUCUGUAAAGAGGGCAAAGUGGACGGCCCCCACUUUGGUCCCCAUGGGAGAGUGAGGGUUGCCAACCGUGUCUUCACGGGGCCUUCAGAAAUAGAGGAUGAGAAUGGUCAGAGGAAGCCCACAGAUGAGCACGUGGCACUGUCUGCUCUGAGACACUGGGAGGACAUCCCCCGGGUGGGCUGCCGCCUUGUGCCGGAACACGUGGAGACCAGGCCGCUGCUCAACCCUGACAAGCCAGGCAUUGAGCAGGGCCGCCUGGAGCUGUGGGUGGACAUGUUCCCCAUGGACAUGCCAGCCCCUGGGACACCUCUGGAUAUAUCCCCCAGGAAACCCAAGAAGUACGAGCUGCGGGUCAUCGUGUGGAACACAGACGAGGUGGUCCUGGAAGACGAUGAUUUCUUCACGGGAGAGAAGUCCAGUGACAUUUUUGUGAGGGGGUGGCUGAAGGGCCAGCAGGAGGACAAACAGGACACAGAUGUCCACUAUCACUCCCUCACGGGGGAGGGCAACUUCAACUGGAGAUACCUCUUCCCCUUCGACUACCUAGCGGCCGAAGAGAAGAUCGUUAUGUCCAAAAAGGAGUCUAUGUUCUCCUGGGAUGAGACGGAGUACAAGAUCCCUGCGCGGCUCACCCUGCAGAUCUGGGACGCUGACCACUUCUCGGCUGACGACUUCCUGGGGGCUAUCGAGCUGGACCUGAACCGGUUCCCGAGGGGCGCUAAGACAGCCAAGCAGUGCACCAUGGAGAUGGCCACCGGGGAGGUGGACGUACCCCUGGUUUCCAUCUUUAAACAGAAACGUGUCAAAGGCUGGUGGCCCCUCCUGGCCCGCAAUGAGAAUGAUGAGUUUGAGCUCACAGGCAAAGUGGAGGCGGAGCUACACCUACUCACGGCAGAGGAGGCAGAGAAGAACCCUGUGGGCCUGGCUCGCAAUGAACCUGAUCCCCUAGAAAAACCCAAACCCAUCAUGGGCUUCAACCCUUCAACCCUUCCUUCAACCCCGAAGCUACCUCUUCCCUCUGAACCAAAAGAAGCUCAUCUUCAAAGAAAGCUGUUGCUUUCCCAGGAAGCCCAGCCCCCAAGUCUGACAGUGGUAUGGGUUCUUCCUAGUUUUUGACAAAGGCAAUGCAAGCACUCCAAAGGUGGCCAGACUUGGUGCCAGAAACUCCUGCUUGGUGGAGGUCUCUCACCAAACCCCUUCCCACUCUCCUGCUAUUUCCCUGUGCUUGUCUGCUCUUCCCAAUGCUCCAGUCGGCCGGACACAAGCUUCAUCUGGUUCUUGAACCCUCUCAAGUCUGCCCGCUACUUCCUGUGGCAUACCUACCGCUGGCUACUCCUCAAAUUCCUGCUGCUCUUCCUCCUGCUGCUGCUCUUCGCCCUGUUUCUCUACUCUCUGCCUGGCUACCUGGCCAAGAAGAUCCUUGGGGCCUGAGCCCUGCAGUCGCCUAGGCCUGCCGGCCUGACACGGCAUUCGUCUGGUUCCUGAACCCACUCAAAUCUAUCAAGUACCUCAUCUGCACCCGGUACAAGUGGCUGAUCAUCAAGAUCGUGCUGGCGCUGCUGGGGCUGCUCAUGCUGGCCCUCUUCCUUUACAGCCUCCCAGGCUACAUGGUCAAGAAGCUCCUAGGGGCCUGAAGUGUGCCCCACCCCAGCCCGCUCCAGCAUCCCUCCAGGGGCUGCUGCGUAUUUUGCCUUCCCUCACCUGGACUCUCUCCCAACUCCCUGAGGAGCCCUCCCACGCCUGCCAGCCUUGAGCAAGACACCUGCUUGCUGGACUUCAUCCCCACCCCACACCCAAACUGUUGCUUGCCUGAUCUUGUCCCAGGCCUGCCUGGGGUUUGGGGCACAGUUGGCCUCCAAAACCAGAUACCCUCUUGUCUAAAGUACCAGGUUCCUCUGCCCAACCCCAAGAGUGGUAGUGGCCCAACCCUCCCUGUGCUUUCCAAAUCUUGUCUUAAGGCACCAGUGAAAUUAACCAAGAAACGCGGAGCAAUGCCCAAGGCUCUGAUGAGUAGGAACACGUGGAAAGCACCAGGAAUGCCAGCAGAGGCGAGGCGGCACACCUCUCUGCAGAGCAUCCAGGCCGAGCGGCGGGCAGCGGCCAGCUGCUUCUGCGCAUGCUCUCCUCUUGGCUCUGCUUCUUUCUCACAGUCACAGUCACUUCACAGCUUAGCCUUGGGCUUCCCAUCACUUCCAGGGGUGCCUCUGCCUUGGCCAGUGUGUGUCAGCUAGUACACAAGCUCCAAGUGUGAAUCAGGUGUACUGGCCGUCCUGAAGACUGACUGCCCUGUCCUUCCUGCCGACAGCCACACCCGAGUGUACACUUAAAGCGGUGCCCUUCUGCCUCUGUGGGCCUGCUGGCUGCUGUUCCUUUCUUGAGUGUGAUUUUUUUUUUCUCUCCCUCAAUAAAAUAAAUCAAACUCUGA